UACGUAGGGCGCAAGCGUUAUCCGGAAUUAUUGGGCGUAAAGAGCUCGUAGGCGGUUUGUCGCGUCUGCCGUGAAAGUCCGGGGCUCAACUCCGGAUCUGCGGUGGGUACGGGCAGACUAGAGUGAUGUAGGGGAGACUGGAAUUCCCGGUGUAGCGGUGGAAUGCGUAGAGAUCGGGAAGAACAUCGGUGGCGAAGGCGGCCUGCUGGGCUGUUGCUGACGCUGAGGCGCGACAGCGUGGGGAGCAAACAGG
rnacentral:rRNA from 1 species